AUGCUUACCUAGCAGGGGAGAUACCAUGAUCAUGAAGGUGGUUUUCCCAGGGUGAAGCUUAUUCACUCUGGAUAUAUUGACCUCUGUGAUUUUCCCAAAUGUAGGAAAUUCAUUGCAUAAUUUGUGGUAGUGGGGGACUGUGUUCAUGAUCUCCCU
ensembl:snRNA U1 U1 spliceosomal RNA